rnacentral:snRNA from 13 species
ACCUUAAAGCAAUGGCAAUAUCGUAACCAAUGAAGGCCUCCUGAGGUGUGAUUAUUGCUAGUUGAAAACUUUGAGGAGCUUUAAUUUAUUUUUUCAGAAAAUUGGUACCUAUUAGUGACGUAUGACUAUUGUAUUAACGUUUUGAGAAAAUUAUCAUCCAAUUAAUCGA